CGACAUUAUUUUUUAAUCCUUUUUUUUUUAAUAUUUUUGAAGAUUCUGGCGGUUUUUAGGUUAAUGGUGGCGGUUAUAACCGACAUAAAUUGACUAUUUUAUUAUUUUACUUUCUGGCUGUCACAGCCCGUCCCGGAAUUUUUAAUUCCGAGGACGUGAAGUUACGAAAAUGUCCCUAAACGGGACUAAAGUGCGUAAUUUGGACACUUGUUUUUACUUAAGGUUCUUAAACUUUGGUGAAUUAGAAUAUUAAUUGGUUUUAGAAACCUAAACCAAGACUUUAUGUUAAAGAUUGGUUCAUGAUGAGUUAAGGGAAUUGGAAAUUCAGUUGAAAGAAUUGGUUGAUAAAAGUUUCAUUCAACCUAGUACAACACUUUUGAGGAGCACCAGUUUGUUGGUGAGAAAGAAAAUGGACUUGGAGAUUGUUCAUUGAUUAUAGACAAUGGAAUUGGUAACGAUCGAGAACCGUUAUCCAUGAUAGUGUACUGAUGUUUAGUUGAUAAGCUCAGAGAUGUUUGUGUAAUUUCAAAGAUUGAUUGAGGUCUGGUUAUUACCAAUUGAAGAUUUUGAGCGACAUUGAUCAUAAGAUGGUUUUCUGGAUUUGUUAUGAUCUUUUAUGAGCUUUGGUGAUGCUAUAAGAAAACUCAUGCUGUUUUAUGAGUUGAUGGAUGAAGUAUUCCAAUAAUGCCUUGAUAAAUUGAUAUCAUUUUCAUUGACGAUAUUCUGGUAUACUCUAAGCCUAGAGCAGAGCAUGUUAGAUAUUUUAAGUUGAUGUUACAAAGUUUGAGAGAACGUUGGUUGUAUGCUAAGUAGCAAAUGCUAAAGUUAGAUGAAUCAGGUGGCAUUCUGAGAUUUGUUAUAUAUCUUAAGGUAUUCAAGUGAAUCCUUAAAAGAUAGCAGAAAUUGAGAAUUUGGAACAACCACGAGUCGUAAUUGAGAUUUGGAAUUUCUUAGCUUACCAGGCUAUCUUGGAUGGUUGUGAAAGAUUUUUCAGUCAUUGCUUUGUCAUUGACGAGACUGUUGAGAAAAGAGGUUAUGUAUGAGUGGGAAGGAAUUGUAAGCAAAGGAUUCAACAACUGAAGUAUUUCCUCACUCAUGCACGUAUUUUAAUAUUCCCAGAAGAUAGCGAUAAUUAUCGGUAUAUGGUGAUGUUACAUUAAAUGUUCUUGGAUAUGUAUUAAUGCAAAUGUUAGGGUGAUUGCAUACGUUUCACGACAAAUGGAAUCUCAUGAGAUGAAUUACCCUACUAGUGAUUUGGAAGUCACGAUUACCAUCCUUGCUGUGAAGUUAUGGAGACAUUCUAUGUUGAUAAGAAUGCAAGAUUUUACAAAUCAAAAGAGUCUCCAAUAUCUGUUUGCUCUGAAGGAUUUUAAUAUAAGGCAGCGAAGGUGAAUUGUAUUGCUUAAUGAACAUGAUUGUACGAUCAGGGCGAUCGUAAAGUUUAUUCUAGCUGAAGUAACCAUUUGCACAGUACGGAAGCUUUAAUUAUACAAUUUAUAAGUUGAUACACCCGAAGGUGCGUCCUAAUUUGGUCCAUUCUGUCAGAACCCCGCUGAAUUCCUCGUAGUCACCACACCUUUGUGAUUCCUGAACCUGGAGGGGCGCAAAACCAAAAUUGAGUGGGUCAGUAAAACAAUUCUUUUCCAAAUCCAAACAUUUCUCAAAACGUUGUAACCCCUCUCCGUAAAACUUGUAUACUUUCCCAGAAAUGUAAAAUAUAAAUAUACAUAUAUAUUCUCAAAACUUCAUUUUUACUAUCUCAACAUUUUUCUUUAUCAAUCAUGCCAUGCCAUGUCUAAUUCAACAGUUAAGUAUGGAUGCAUCAACAAUAAUCAUAUCAGGUGCAAGAAAGUAAUCAACCGGAGGCCCUCUAAUAGCCCUGUACGGUUGAACCUAGAGCUCAAAAUCUAUCACUCUCACUCUGCCGGAGUCACCUCUGUGACCUGUCCGGCCUUCUGCACACAAGUUACGCUCUAGUGCUUUCUCAUCAAUCAUCUGUGCACAUAAUCUAAGGUCACCCACCAGUCGAAAUCUCACUAACACUCUACGACUGGCCCGUCACACCCACUCCGCGUGGACUGUGCGACCAGCAUCUACUUGGAUCCAAGGCGAGCGUGCGAUGCGGUGAAUACUAUAAGCACUAAACCAUGGUGCAGGAUUUGAGCUCAAUAUAUAUCAACAUCAUCAUAACAGUAUUUAAAUACUCACCUGAUACUCACCUGUGCGUCCGCCGCACCAAUUCAUACAUAUGCAUCAUAUAUCAAUUCAUACUUUCCAUAUCAUUUCAUGCAUGGCAAUUCGAUUCACAUUUCUAUCUACUUUUCACAUACUUUCAUGCAUGGCAUUUCAACUAAUAUAUCUCAUAUACUUUUAUACAUUUUCAUUAAAAGCAUAAUUUCAUGCAUUUUCAAUUUCUGGGAAACGGCAAGUAUAUAUGUAUACGGAAAACAAAACUGCCCACUCACCUGGAGUUCGCCCUACAACUCCCUAGCACAAUACGCCAAGGCGUCAUGACGAUCGGCGCCUAAAACAAUAAUCAAUUCCAACCUCAGAAUUCAUAUCGAUAGAAUAUAUAACUUAUAUAAAAUACGUCACUACGUAGAUUGAUCCGGAAGAUCCACCACUCAGAUUUUAAAUCCAUAACUUCCAGAGGUCCACAUAAUACCUCUAGGACAACAUCCUAAAAUUUCAUUACCAUCCAACGGUCGGAUCUCCGUCAAUUUCCAAAACUAAGUGACGGUUACAUUCUAUUUUAUGAACUUACAACUCCAAUUCCGGAAGAUCCGUAAAUCGGAUUCCCAAUUCGUAAGUUCCGUCCCGGAAUUUUUAAUUCCGAGGACGUGAAGUUACGAAAAUGUCCCUAAACGGGACUAAAGUGCGUAAUUUGGACACUUGUUUUUACUUAAGGUUCUUAAACUUUGGUGAAUUAGAAUAUUAAUUGGUUUUAGAAACCUAAACCAAGACUCUAUGUUAAAAGUUUGAAAUUGAGAUUGAGUUGGACACGGGGGAUCCCCACAUCCCUCAAAACCUUCCCCAAUUCCCGUACCUUGUCACUCUCUCUCUCCUCCUUCACGAUUUCUCACUUUCUCUGUCUCUCUCUCCUUCGAACUCACGGACCAACUUCAAAAACACCCAAAAACUUCCACCAACGUCAAGUUUGAGACCACCAUUGGAAUCCUGAGGACUUCACGAUCACGUGGGUACUAAAUUCAGGUGAGAUUCAUUUCAAAAACCCUAGUUUUCAAGGACCCCGUGAUAGUG
rnacentral:lncRNA from 1 species